CGGGGUGGAGUAAUGUCUGGGAAACUGCCUGAUGGAGGGGGGUGACUACUGGAAACGGUAGCUAAUACCGCAUAACGUCGCAAGACCAAAGAGGGGGACCUUCGGGCCUCUUGCCAUCGGAUGUGCCCAGAUGGGAUUAGCUAGUAGGUGGGGUAACGGCUCACCUAGGCGACGAUCCCUAGCUGGUCUGAGAGGAUGACCAGCCACACUGGAACUGAGACACGGUCCAG
rnacentral:rRNA from 1 species